rnacentral:rRNA from 1 species
UAUACUGUGAAACUGCGUACAGCUCAUUAUAUCAGCAAUUAUUUAUUUGAUGGUACCUUACUACAUGGAUAACCGUGGUAAUUCUAGAGCUAAUACAUGCACAAAGUCCCAACUCUUGCGGGGAGGGAUGUAUUUAUUAGAUACAAAACCAAUACCACCUCUGGUGGAUAUUGUGGUGACUCAUAAUAACUGAUCGAAUCGCAUGGCUUCAUGCUGGCGAUAGUUCAUUCAAAUUUCUGCCCUAUCAGCU